rnacentral:rRNA from 1 species
AGAUCAGAAUGCUACGGUGAAUACGUUCCCGGGCCUUGUACACACCGCCCGUCACACCAUGGGAGUGGGUUGCAAAAGAAGUAGGUAGCUUAACCUUCGGGAGGGCGCUUACCACUUUGUGAUUCAUGACUGGGGUGAAGUCGUAACAAGGUAACCG